CACUGUUUCCCUUUCAGCUGUUAUCUACAGCGAGACCUGCAGGGAUCAGAAAGACUGUAAUCACGUGACAUGUGACAGUUCCUAAAAGUUGGGCUGCUCUCAUGGAGGAUGUACCUGCCUGACUUCCGCCACUGCUGGUUCCUGCGCUCAAGAUGAGAGUACGAUUUGCCUUUUUUGAGCCACAUGCAGCGCCCGUGUCGACUGCGACAGCUGCAGAUGUAGAGACAGCCGUGCUUCACACCACUACUACGAUGGGCACUGUCUCUGUGGACGUGGAUUUGGACCUGACAUUGGCAAACAAACUUUGAGGCAGAGGAUCAAUCAACUAUUUAUUGUUUUUGCACCAUUGUGUACUUAUG
rnacentral:lncRNA from 1 species